CAAUAAGCGAUGAUAGGAACAAGUAAGUUUGUCUCCGUUUCUCAGAGAGCCGGUGGUUGGUGCGAACCGGUGAAACGCGCAAAUCGAAUGGAUCCUUGAGCUUGAGGCUGAACACAGUAAGCAGGCUGCCGGAACCUAGGCCGGAGAAACAACUGCUUCUGACUAAGUAUGCCAAACGGUAGCUCUCCGUUAUCAGAGCCUGAAGGUCUUAGGACAAUGUUAUGUUCACAGACAAAUUAGGGUGGUACCACGGUCUCUCGUCCCUUGC
rnacentral:ncRNA from 1 species